rnacentral:rRNA from 1 species
GAUGAACGCUGGCGGCGUGCUUAAUACAUGCAAGUCGAGCGAACAGACGAUGAGCUUGCUCCUCUGACGUUAGCGGCGGACGGGUGAGUAACACGUGUAUAACCUACCUAUAAUACUGAGAUAACUUCGGGAAACCGGAGCUAAUACCGGAUAAUAUAUUGCACCGCAUGGUGCAAUAGAAAAUGACGGCUUUGCUGUCACUACUCGAUGGUUACGCGCUGCAUUAGCUAGUUGUUAAGUUAAAGGCCUACGAAGGCAACCAUGCGUAGCCGACGUGAGAGGUGGAUCGGCCACACUGGAACGGGACCAGGGUCCAGACUACUACGGGAGGCAGCAGUAGGGAAUCUGACGCAAUGGGCGAAAGCAUGACGGAGCAACGCCGCGUGAGUGAUGACGGUCUUCGGAUCGUAAAACUCUGUUAUUAGGGAAGAACAAAUGUGUAAGUAACUAUGGACGGCUUGACGGUACCUAAUCAGAAAGCCACGGCUAACUACGUG